rnacentral:rRNA from 1 species
UACGUAGGGGGCUAGCGUUGUCCGGAAUCAUUGGGCGUAAAGCGCGUGUAGGCGGUCCGGUAAGUCCGCUGUGAAAGUCGAGGGCUCAACCCUCGAAUGCCGGUGGAUACUGUCGGGCUUGAGUACGGGAGAGGCGAGUGGAAUUCCUGGUGUAGCGGUGAAAUGCGCAGAUAUCAGGAGGAACACCAAUGGCGAAGGCAGGUUGCUGGACAGAGAGUGACGCUGAGGCGCGAAAGUGUGGGGAGCAAACCGG